UGCAAGUCGAACGCUUCUUUUUCCNCCGGAGCUUGCUCCACCGGAAAAAGAGGAGUGGCGAACGGGUGAGUAACACGUGGGUAACCUGCCCAUCAGAAGGGGAUAACACUUGGAAACAGGUGCUAAUACCGUAUAACAAUCGAAACCGCAUGGUUUUGAUUUGAAAGGCGCUUUCGGGUGUCGCUGAUGGAUGGACCCGCGGUGCAUUAGCUAGUUGGUGAGGUAACGGCUCACCAAGGCGACGAUGCAUAGCCGACCUGAGAGGGUGAUCGGCCACAUUGGGACUGAGACACGGCCCAAACUCCUACGGGAGGCAGCAGUAGGGAAUCUUCGGCAAUGGACGAAAGUCUGACCGAGCAACGCCGCGUGAGUGAAGAAGGUUUUCGGAUCGUAAAACUCUGUUGUUAGAGAAGAACAAGGAUGAGAGUAACUGUUCAUCCCUUGACGGUAUCUAACCAGAAAGCCACGGCUAACUACGUGCCANCAGCCGCGGA
rnacentral:rRNA from 1 species